GAUGAAGAACGCAGCGAAAUGCGAUAAGUAGUGUGAAUUGCAGAAUUCAGUGAAUCAUCGAAUCUUUGAACGCACAUUGCGCCCCUUGGUAUUCCAUGGGGCAUGCCUGUUCGAGCGUCAUUUGUACCUUCAAGCUCUGCUUGGUGUUGGGUGUUUGUCUCGCCUCUGCGUGUAGACUCGCCUCAAAACUAUUGGCAGCCGGCGUAUUGAUUUCGGAGCGCAGUACAUCUCGCGCUUUGCACUCAUAACGACGACGUCCAAAAGUACAUUUUUACACUCUUGACCUCGGAUCAGGUAGGGAUACCCGCUGAACUUAAGCAUAUCAAUAAGCGGAGGA
rnacentral:misc_RNA from 1 species